AUGUUUUGUGCAUGCUGCCAAUCACCGAUCUUUAACAAAGCUUCCAACAAACCAAGUUUUUGGUUGUCAGGUGGCUUCUCUACUUUCUCCUCUUCUUUAUCCUUUUCUUUCUCUCGCUCAUCAAGUUUUUCAGAAGACAAUAAAACCAUUGUAAGUUUUCUAACAAUUUGCUUAGCUUCCACAAUUUCUCGUUUGUGUUCAUCCAUAAUGCAAUUAUCAGCUGGAAGAAGAUGUACGUAAAGAUCAUCUAAAUCAAUAAGAUUACAUUGCAGAAGUACUGCUGCAACUCUCUAUAAAGACGAUGGAGUCUUGCCAUUUGGUUCCUGGUAAAACUUGAAUUUGAACCCAAGAAUAUGACACAGUGUUUGCGGUUCACACAUACUCAUGUAAGAUUCUAAUAAAGAUAUAAAGAAGUCAUCGUGUUCUGGCCUGCAUUCAAACACUUCUAAAAUGACAUCCAAAACUCUAUUGGGAUCCAGAUUAAAGCAUCCUAUUAAAGAUUUUAUAUUUUCUAAGAUUAAAUCACUAGUAAUAUUUCCAGAUAAAUCUUUCCCCAAUUCAGCAAUCAGCUUGGCAUAUCCUUCAUUCUCUUCUCUUAACAAAUUGAAUUUCUGCUGCUUGUAGAAGAGUUUUGUCUUGAUUUUAACUGACUUUUGAUUGAAUUGCUGUGACUGUUUAAUGAGUCCCAAUGAUUCCAAUGUUUCUGGAUGUAGGCAUUCCUUUAGAACUGUCUGAAACUAAAUACAAACAUGCUAACACCAACUGUGUAAAAUAGUCUCUCUUGCUUUUGUCUUCUAAACAAUUUAUCUCAAUAUCUAAUAUACAGAAAACAUCAGCAAGAAUGGAGGGCAUAUGCUCACGAAAUUCACUAAUGUCCUUAAGAACAUUUGAUGCCUGUUCGUGCUUUAAAUUUCUGUUAAUGACAUGAUAUGACAAUUCAUACAAAGCUUGCUGUAAAUCUCUGUAAGUUGCACUAUCAUGGCUUUUAUUUUCACUGAGAAGCCGGCAUAAAUGCAAAAAUUUACCUCUCCCGGAUUUCUCCCAGUUCUUUAUCCACUCAAUGGGGAGGGCCACGGUCGCUGCCUCCAUCCUUCCCCUCCCUAGUAACAGAGGUCCGAAUGUGUAGCACGCGAGCAAGGGGUCAAAGGGGAGCACCGCCCACGCGGAAUGCCGCGAGCUGCGAG
rnacentral:lncRNA from 1 species